AGUUGGCGAGAAGUACGCGGAAUGCGCGGUGUAGCGGUGAAAUGCAUAGAUAUCGCGCAGAACUCCGAUUGCGAAGGCAGCGUACCGGCGCCAGACUGACGCUGAGGCACGAAAGCGUGGGGAUCGAACAGGAUUAGAUACCCUGGUAGUCCACGCAGUAAACGAUGAAUGCUGGUUGUCCGGGUCGAAUGAGAUCUGGGCGGCGAAGCGAAAGCGAUAAGCAUUCCACCUGGGGAGUACGCCGGCAACGGUGAAACUCAAAGGAAUUGACGGGGGCCCGCACAAGCGGAGGAACAUGUGGUUUAAUUCGAUGAUACGCGAGGAACCUUACCCGGGCUCAAACGGGAGUGGAAUGGAUCGGAGACGGUUCAGCCUACGGGCCGCUUCCGAGGUGCUGCAUGGUUGUCGUCAGCUCGUGCCGUGAGGUGUCGGCUUAAGUGCCAUAACGAGCGCAACCCCCGCCGGCAGUUGCUAACGGGCAAUGCCGAGGACUCUGCCGGGACUGCCGCCGCAAGGCGUGAGGAAGGCGGGGAUGACGUCAAAUCAGCACGGCCCUUACGUCCGGGGCGACACACGUGUUACAAUGGGCGGUACAGCGGGAAGCCAGGCGGCGACGCCGAGCGGAACCCGAAAGCCGUUCUCAGUUCGGAUCGGAGUCUGCAACCCGACUCCGUGAAGCUGGAUUCGCUAGUAAUCGCGCAUCAGCCAUGGCGCGGUGAAUACGUUCCCGGGCCUUGCACACACCGCCCGUCAAG
rnacentral:rRNA from 1 species